rnacentral:lncRNA from 1 species
GCUCGUUACUUCUCUCUCCUCUCUUCUCUCUGUUUGUGUUUCAAUAAUGAAUUGAUUGUUGUAGCCACAACUAAGAAUCGCCAGAUCGUGCCACAGGCCCGGGUUUCCCCUCCCCUCUUCGCCCUCCUCCCCUUUUUCCCUCCCUUUCCGUACACACGCGCACACACACGCACACUCACACACAUACACACAUACACACACACACACGCGCGCGCGCGCGCACAUACACAGACACUACCCGGACGACCGGGACCAGAGUCUCUCCACAGCGGCCGCAGCGCGGCCCGGGCUCCGGGAGGAGACCAGCAGAGUCCCACCGCCGGCCGGGGACACCCUUUCCACAGCCAGUCGGAUGAUGAUUCUGGAUCAGCUUCUGGAUCUGGUUCUGGAUCAAGCUCUGGAAGCAGUAGUGAUGGGAGCAGCAGUCAGUCAGGCAGCAGUGAUUCUGAUUCCGGGUCUGACUCAGGCAGUCACUCUGAUUCUGAGUCAGAUACUUCUAGAGAAAAGAAAGUACAAUCAAAACCACCAAAAGUUGAUAGCUCUGAGGUAAAAAACAAAACAUUCUAAUGUAUGUGUCUUAUAUUAUUGCAUUUUUUCCUUAGUUCAUUUU